UCGAUCGUAAACGUCAGUUAUCGCUGCUC
rnacentral:sRNA from 1 species